ACAUCCAGAGAAUUUAGCAGAGAUGCUUUAGUGCCUUCGGGAACUCUGAGACAGGUGCUGCAUGGCUGUCGUCAGCUCGUGUUGUGAAAUGUUGGGUUAAGUCCCGCAACGAGCGCAACCCUUAUCCUUUGUUGCCAGCACGUAAUGGUGGGAACUCAAAGGAGACUGCCGGUGAUAAACCGGAGGAAGGUGGGGAUGACGUCAAGUCAUCAUGGCCCUUACGAGUAGGGCUACACACGUGCUACAAUGGCGCAUACAAAGAGAAGCGACCUCGCGAGAGCAAGCGGACCUCAUAAAGUGCGUCGUAGUCCGGAUUGGAGUCUGCAACUCGACUCCAUGAAGUCGAAAUCGCUAGUAAUCGUAAAUCAGAAUGUUACGGUGAAUACGUUCCCGGGCCUUGUACACACCGCCCGUCACACCAUGGGAGUGGGUUGCAAAAGAAGUAGAUAGCUUAACCUUCGGGAGGGCGUUUACCACUUUGUGAUUCAUGACUGGGGUGAAGUCGUAACAAGGUAAGCGUAGUGCU
rnacentral:rRNA from 1 species